CCUACGGGAGGCAGCAGCUAAGAAUAUUCCGCAAUGGACGGAAGUCUGACGGAGCGACGCCGCGUGGAUGAAGAAGGCUGAAAAGUUGUAAAAUCCUUUUGUUGAUGAAGAAUAACGGUAAGAGGGAAUGCUUAUCGGAUGACGGUAAUCGACGAAUAAGCCCCGGCUAAUUACGUGCCAGCAGCCGCGGUAACACGUAAGGGGCGAGCGUUGUUCGGAAUUAUUGGGCGUAAAGGGCAUGUAGGCGGUUGUGUAAGCUUGAUGUGAAAUCUCGGGGCUUAACCCCGAAACCGCAUUGGGUACUGCAUAACUUGAAUUACGGAAGGGAAACUGGAAUUCCAAGUGUAGGGGUGGAAUCUGUAGAUAUUUGGAAGAACACCGGUGGCGAAGGCGGGUUUCUGG
rnacentral:rRNA from 1 species